GUGGUAUAAAGAGGAGAGGGGAGAGGUGAGACAAGGGCCAGACUGCUGGGCCAAGAAAGGGUGAAGAGUAGUGAAGGGGGUGGAGUUGGGAAUAGAGGUAAGUGAUUGAUAGAUUUGUGCAGGCAAAAUUCCAAUCCUGAUGACGGGUCUUGGCCUGAAACUUACUUACUACCCAUUAUGCUGCUACCAUUUAGGGCAGCAAUAAAGGUCCUCUUUGUCUGUCCAUACUGUUGCACACAGAGUUUGAAGGAUUCUUCAUUACUGUGAUAUUGAGUGAUUUUUCAUUGCUGUUUCCAUAACAAUUUUGUUUUUACCCCUGAUUCUGGAGGACCAGUGGACCACACUUCGUUUGGCCUCGACCUUUUGACCUGUUUGGCAUGGGUGACCCUACCAAGAGCCAAAGCCUGACUCCAGCCAACAUAGCUCUCUGGGUCAUUGAGGCAGUUCACACUGGGCACCUCCAUGGCAGAGGAGACGAUGGGCACGUCAGUGUGAGAAUUGGAAAGAGCAAAGAAAUGAUGUGUGAUUGGGAGCUUGAGAUGGAAAAUGAAGGUGAUCUGCAAAUGGGUCACCUAAUCUGCACUUGGCCUCACCAGUGUAGCAGAAGCACCGACUGCAGUGGACGUGGUUGGAGUCGGAGCCUGCAAAUCUUUGCCUCACCCAGAAGGCCUGCUUAGGUCACAGGGUGGUGGUGCUGAACCGGCUGGUACUUAAUCUGCUUCUGAAUUGGAGGAUCAACAGGCAAAGGCUUGAAAGCAGAGCUCCAAAGAUAAGGACAAUGAAGAGGUGGUCACAGGAGGCAGAGGAGCAUCGACAGCAUCGCUUUGAGUCAGUGCACUGGGCCGCGUUCCAAAACUCAUCAGUUGAUCUGAAUGAAUACGCCACGGUUAUCAUGGGCUUAUAAGAACAGUUGUAGCCGAGCGUGUCCCCACAAAAUCAUUCAGAGUCUUCCUCAACCCGAAGUCCUGGAUGAACCAAGAGAUCUGCAGUCUGGUGAGGGCCAGAUCAGAAGCAUUCAGGUCUGGCUACCAAGCUACAUCCAGACCAGCUAAGAUCUCCAGAAAGUUAUCUCAUUGGCGAAGUGGCAAUUCUGGACUAAACGAAUCAACGCUGGAACAUCUGGAGAGCGAAGAUGCGUACAUCAGGAUGCUCCUUAUUGGCUACAGCUCAGCAUUCAAUAUCAUCAUCCCCUCAAAGCUAGUCAAUAAGUUUCAAGACAUUGGCCUCAUUAUCUCCUUGUGCAAUUGGUUCCUCAAUUUCCUCACUUGCAAAUCCCAGUCAAUGGAAAAAUGUUGUGUUAAGAUGGAACAUAAGAUUUGUCAUACUGAGUGUAUCGAGAAGAGAGACCUCAGAAGGGUUCCAGAUUGAAUACUUGUGUUUAUAUGGCUGGGUCAGAAGAAAUUAAUUAAAGAUAGUAGGUAAGUAUAGAAUCUAUUAAGUCUGCAGAGCCAAACCUAGAAAACAAUGCUACAAAUUUAGAACAAAAUCUGUCCAAAGAGCACAACGGUGGAUGGAUAACGACAACAGACAGGAUCUCCCAGUUGCCACCCACUUCAACUCUGCUUCACAUUCCCAUUCGGAUAUGUCCAUACAUGGCCUCCUCUACUGCCAUGAUGAGGCCAAACUCAAGUUGGAGGCACAACACUUCAUAUACCGUCUGGGUAGUCUCCAGCCCCUUGGUAUGAACAUCGAAUUCUCCAACUUCCGGUAAUUCCUUCCCUCUCCCUUCCCCCAUCCCACUUUCACUCUGUCUCCUCUUCCAGCUGCCUAUCACCUCUCUCAUGAUUCUGCCUUCUUCUGCUACCCAUUGUGCUUUCCCCUUAGAUUCCUUCUUCACCUCUCCUGUCUAUCCCCUCCCUCAACCCCUUGAUCUUUCUUCUGAUUGGUUUGUCACCUGCCACAUUCCACCCUCCCCCCCACCUUCUUUAUAGGACCCCCGCCCCCUCUUUCUUUAGUCCUGACAAAGGGUCUCGGCCCAAAACGUUGACUGCUCCUUUCGACGGAUGCUGCCCGACCUGCUGAGUUCAUCCGGCUUUUGUACGUGUUAACUUCUUAGGCCUUGCAGUCGCCAUUUGAAAUGGAUUAAGAUGAAACAUGUUGGGAUCUUUACCAUACCUGAAGGACUGAGGACCACUUUUUCAUGUCAGGAGUUAUUAGACUAGUUCUAGUCUUAGGUAACGAUCCUCAGUUUCGUUCAUUGAACACUCUGUGAAACAAAAAGAUGCUAGACACAGAAUAACUCUGCCAUGUUCACAGUGUCGAAUGGUGUGUGACUGAGUACUCCAUUAAAGAAGCAUUGUAAAAUUGUCUAUUACAAGGAUCAUUAAGUUUAGCAAUGGUUCAUUGAUCAGCUAGAAUUUUGCCAAACUAAAGAACAACAUUGCGAAUCACAAUGGAUUAUAUCCCUGAUGAGUUACUCACGUAUGUACAACCAGAAUACAAGCUUAGUUCAGCCAAGUCAUGGCAGAAGAGUAGCGGAGGUACAGUGAGGCUGAAACAAAAUAGUGUUUCUAGCGACAGAGGAAAAUGUUUUCAACAACAUGAUAGAGUUAACGUGUUAGCACCAGGUAGCAACUCUGACUUCGCAGGAUGAGAUGUUGAAUGUGAAAUAUUGAAAAUAGAAACAUAGAAAAUAGGUGCAGGAGUAGGCCAUUCGGCCCUUCGAGCCUGCACCGCCAUGCAGCAUGAUCAUGGCUGAUCAUCCAACUCAGAACCCUGUACCUGUUUUCUCUCCAUACCCCCGAUCCCUUUAGCCACAAGGGAUCUAACUUCCUUUUAAAUAUAGCCAAUGAACCGGCCUCAACUGUUUCCUGUGGCAGAGAAUUCCACAGAUUCACCACUCUCUGUGUGAAGAAGUUUUUCCUCAUCUCAGUCCUAAAAGGCUUUCCCUUUAUCCUUAAACUGUGACCCCUCGUUCUGGACCCCCAACAUCGGAAACAAUCUUCCUGCAUCUAGCCUGUCCAAUCCCUUUAGAAUUUUAUACGUUUCAAUAAGAUCCCCCCUCAAUCUUCUAAAUUCCAGUGAGUAUAAGCCUAGUCGAUCCAGUCUUUCUUCAUAUGAAAGUCCUGCCAUCCCAGGAAUCAAUCUGGUGAACCUUCUUUGUACUCCCUCUAUGGCAAGAAUGUCUUUUCUCAUAUUAGGGGACCAAAACUGCACACAAUAUUCCAGGUGCGGUCUCACCAAGGCCUUAUACAACUGCAGUAGAACCUCCCUGCUCCUGUACUCAAAUCCUUUUGCUAUGAAUGCCAACAUACCAUUUGCCUUUUUCACCGCCUGCUAUACCUGCAU